AACUUACCUGACAGCAACGACAGCUCUUCUGUGGAGACUGAGACCCAAAACAAGAAGGCAUCUACUGACGUUUUACCCUGAGCAGGAAUGGGCAGGACAAGAUGGAAGAUCAGGACCACUCUCAAUAGGAAAAUAUACCUUUUAAUUUCUUCAAGAAAUUUGACUAAAACAUGAGCAUGAUUUUGAACAUAUGGGGCCCAAAGCUCUGAUUUCCUAUGGCUGAAAUUUCAGUGUUGUGGUGGACCCAUACUUGCAGAGAAAUAUGUGAAUUCAUCAUGGUUAUUUUUGUAGCAUUGAAGCUGGCGAACUUCCAAGUCAAGAACUUUCUGCCUUUGCAGUUCUCGGUUAUUUGAGGCUGGAUGACUCACUUUGUGUAACAUCCUCUUGUUUUCCUCCUUUUCCUCCCAUGGGCCCCCUCCUACAUGAGACGAUUGGCCAGGGCAGGGAGGGUCAUGAAACUGGAGCCUCUGUGGACAGCUUCUUCUCAGUUUUGCUAACAUUUUUUUGGGAAGCCAUCUUCACCUCUUCUUUUUCCCCCACCAGAGGAAGUGGUGAGCUGGCACUAGUAUUUGGAUCCACUGUAGGAGUUCCUGCUGUGGUGCGACGGGAUUGGUGGUAUCUCUGCAGCACCAGGAUGCAGGUUUGAUCCCCAGCCUGGCAAUAGUGAGUUAAAGGAUCCAACAUUGCUACAACUGUGGCCUUCCCUGGCCCAGGAACUUAAUAUGCUGUGGGUCAGCUGAAAAAAGAACAAAACUCCACUGUAAAAUGUCUCCUUCUCCUCUUGUAUCUCUGUGACUUCGGAAUAUCUGGCACACAUGCACUGUUCCAAUGUUGGACAUAGAUUUUUAAAUUUCAUUUUAUAAUUAGAAUAAGAAAUACCGGGAGUUCCCAUUGUGGCUCAGUGGAAACAAAUCCGACUAGGAACCAUGAGGUUGCAGGUUCGAUCCCUGCUUCACUCAGUGGGUUAAGGAUCCGGCGUUGCUGUGAGCUGUGGUGUAGGUUGCAGAUAUGGCUUGAAUCCCAGGUUGCUGUGGCUGUGGUAUAGGCCAGCAGCUGCAGCUCCAAUUGGACCUCUAGCCUGGGGACCUCCAAGUGCUGCAGGUGCUGCCCUAAAAAGCAACAACAACGAAAAAGAAAGAAUAAAA
rnacentral:lncRNA from 9 species